rnacentral:rRNA from 1 species
UACGAAGGGGGCUAGCGUUGCUCGGAAUCACUGGGCGUAAAGGGUGCGUAGGCGGGCCUUUAAGUCAGGGGUGAAAUCCUGGAGCUCAACUCCAGAACUGCCUUUGAUACUGAAGAUCUUGAGUCCGGGAGAGGUGAGUGGAAUUCCCAGUGUAGAGGUGAAAUUCGUAGAUAUUGGGAAGAACACCAGUGGCGAAGGCGGCUAUCUGGACCGGUACUGACGCUGAGGCGCGAAAGCGUGGGGAGCAAACAGG